UUGGAUAAGUGAGGGAUUAGAUAUUCCUUUGUUCCUUCUCAAAGAGUACACGCCUUGGAACUAAUGUAUGACCAUCAACAACUGCAGUAAUCAACAAACCAGGACUUGCCAAGGCCGUGGGCAGCAAAGGCUUCCUGAAGCAGGCAGAACAUUGGGGAAUGUCAACACUGAAACUGGCAAUAGGAAAAAAUCACAGGAGACUGCCUCUGAGACAAGGUGUUUAAACAGAAAAUGUAGAAGGACGAAAGUUAUGAAGUAGACCCGGCGAGGAACACAUGCAGAGUUCUGAAAGGACGGCUCCCCAGGGAAAAAAGAACCUUCUGUACUAGUCACACAUACUCUGUGAGCACUAAGGGAAAAUUUGACUUAACUAUAACUUUUCAAGUGGCAAGAUCUCUGAUAUUCCCUUGGGUCUCUCUGGAUGGUGAAGCUAAAGCAGUAUGCGAUGUGGCCCCUUCGCAGUACUUUGGGGGAGUCAGGAUUCGUGCCCAUGAAGCGAAGAG